rnacentral:rRNA from 1 species
GGGCCCGCACAAGCGGUGGAGUAUGUGGUUUAAUUCGAUGAUACGCGAGGAACCUUACCAGGGCUUAAAUGUAAGUUGCAUAGAUCAGAGAUGGUCUUUUCUUCGGACUACUUACAAGGUGCUGCAUGGUUGUCGUCAGCUCGUGCCGUGAGGUGUCAGGUUAAGUCCUAUAACGAGCGCAACCCCUGUUGUUAGUUGCCAUCGAGUAAUGUCGGGAACUCUAACAAGACUGCCGGUGCAAACCGCGAGGAAGGUGGGGAUGACGUCAAAUCAUCACGGCCCUUACGUCCUGGCUACACACGUGCUACAAUGGCCGGUACAGAGAGCAGCCACUACGCGAGUAGGAG